rnacentral:rRNA from 1 species
GACGAACGCUGGCGGCGCGCCUAACACAUGCAAGUCGAACGAGCGAGAGAGAGCUUGCUUUCUCAAGCGAGUGGCGAACGGGUGAGUAAUGCGUGAGGAACCUGCCUCAAAGAGGGGGACAACAGUUGGAAACGACUGCUAAUACCGCAUAAGCCCACAGGUCGGCAUCGACCAGAGGGAAAAGGAGCAAUCCGCUUUGAGAUGGCCUCGCGUCCGAUUAGCUAGUUGGUGAGGUAACGGCCCACCAAGGCAACGAUCGGUAGCCGGACUGAGAGGUUGAACGGCCACAUUGGGACUGAGACACGGCCCAGACUCCUACGGGAGGCAGCAGUGGGGAAUAUUGCACAAUGGGGGAAACCCUGAUGCAGCGACGCCGCGUGGAGGAAGAAGGUCUUCGGAUUGUAAACUCCUGUUGUUGAGGAAGAUAAUGACGGUACUCAACAAGGAAGUGACGGCUAACUACGUG